rnacentral:lncRNA from 1 species
AGACUCCGCGGAGAACGCGAGCAUGGUCGGAAAUCAUCGCCUUUAUUUCUUGGCGGGUCUCGAGGGAAGGUCGGGAACGGGCGGGUCCUGCUGGCCUAGAGGGCGUCAGGGGCAGCCACCGGCGGCUCGGGAUCCUCCUCGUCGCGAGCGCGGGGGAGCUCAGGUCCGGCCUGCCGGGGGCUGGGUGAGGCUGCGGACCAGGUUCCUACGCUCCUCGCGUCCGCCCGCGUCUGCCCUAGGCCUCCACCGCGGCUUCCUCUGUCCCCGGGGCCGCCCUGCUCCCCACAGACCCCACUCUCGGGGGCCGCUCCCAGGACCCCCGCCCGCUCUCUCCUGACUCGGUCCCUGCCCGCCCCGCCUCCCUUCCUCGGGCUCCCUACCUCUCCCUCGCCGGCCCCGACCUCGGGGGCGCUCCGGACCUGCUCCCCGAAUAUCUCCAGCUCCGCCUUCAGCCUGCGGAGAAGGGGCCGAGGAGACAGGAGGAAGAGAGCGAGAGUCCAGGGGACGAGGAGGAAGCCACCGAGACGCGGAGACCCGACGACGCCGAGGGAGGCACAGGCCGGGGAAGCGGCAGUCGGGGGCGGAGCGGGGGACCUGGGCGGGUUCCCCUCCGCCCUGCCCCUGCCCUCCUCGCCCACUCCUCCCUUCCCCUCUCACCCGUCAUUCACCGCCAUGGCGCCCUCGACCUCAGGCGGCGAGUGCAGCCGCCGCUCCACCUCCCGCAGCUUGGCGCGCACCAGCCUCCCUGUCGGUGGGCGGGCGUCAGGGGCAGGGCCGAGGCCCGGGCACAUCCCCCUCCCCCCGCCCACCUGGCGCGGGAGGCUCACUCUCCGAGAGCAGCUGCUCCUUGCUUCUCUCCAGGGCACGGAUCUCCCGGGCCAGUCGCUGCUCCAGCAUCUGCGAGGACAAAGAGGAGGCCUCCCCGUUUGGCCGUCCUCUUGGCUACACGGCCCGCCCCUCCCCUUUUGUGCUUCUCGCGAAGUCUUCACCUACAUUAGGUCAUUCAUUCAUUCAACUAUUUAUUAACUCAAUGUGCAGUUCCUGCUGUGGCUGGAGACCCACCCACCUCCCCCUAAACGCUCUCCAUGUCUCCAGGCACCUCUCAAACUUGAACUCUUCCCACUCUCCUCAUCCUCCAUUCCCCAAUCUGCGGCUCCUCAACGGUUUCAGGCACCGUCCAGCCCCAGGGCCUUCCUUCUGCACCGAUACCUG